rnacentral:rRNA from 1 species
CAGCCGCCGCGGUAAUGCGUAGGGUGCGAGCGUUAAUCGGAAUUACUGGGCGUAAAGCGUGCGCAGGCGGUUGUGUAAGACAGGUGUGAAAUCCCCGGGCUUAACCUGGGAACUGCGCUUGUGACUGCACAGCUAGAGUAUGGCAGGGGGGGGGUGGAAUUCCACGUGUAGCAGUGAAAUGCGUAGAGAUGUGGAGGAACACCGAUGGCGAAGGCAGCCCCCUGGGCCAAUACUGACGCUCAUGCACGAAAGCGUGGGGAGCAAACAGGAUUAGAUACCCCGGUAGUCCCUGUCUCUUAUA